AGAGUUUGAUCAUGGCUCAGGAUGAACGCUAGCGGGAGGCUUAACACAUGCAAGUCGAGGGGCAGCAUAGGGUAGCAAUACUCUGAUGGCGACCGGCAAACGGGUGAGUAACGCGUAUGCAACCUACCCUGUACAGGGGGAUAACCCGGAGAAAUUCGGACUAAUAUCCCGUAAUAAUAUCCGGAGGCAUCUUUGGAUAUUUAAAGUUCCGACGGUACGGGAUGGGCAUGCGUAACAUUAGCUGGUUGGUAAGGUAACGGCUUACCAAGGCUAUGAUGUUUAGGGGUCCUGAGAGGGUGGUCCCCCACACUGGUACUGAGACACGGACCAGACUCCUACGGGAGGCAGCAGUGAGGAAUAUUGGUCAAUGGGCGCAAGCCUGAACCAGCCAUCCCGCGUGCAGGAAGACGGCCCUAUGGGUUGUAAACUGCUUUUCCAGGGAGAGAAACUUACGCACGUGUUGCGUGACUGACGGUACCCUGGGAAUAAGCAUCGGCUAACUCCGUGCCAGCAGCCGCGGUAAUACGGAGGAUGCAAGCGUUAUCCGGAUUCAUUGGGUUUAAAGGGUGCGUAGGCGGGCUAUUAAGUCAGUGGUGAAAUCCUGCAGCUUAACUGCAGAACUGCCGUUGAUACUGAUAGUCUUGAGUUUGGUUAAGGUAGGCGGAAUGUGUAAUGUAGCGGUGAAAUGCUUAGAUAUUACACAGAACACCAAUUGCGUAGGCAGCUUACUGAGCCGACACUGACGCUGAGGCACGAAAGCGUGGGGAUCAAACAGGAUUAGGUACCCUGGUAGUCCACGCCGUAAACGAUGAUUACUCGCUGUUGGCGAUACACUGUCAGCGGCUAAGCAAAAGCAAUAAGUAAUCCACCUGGGGAGUACGGCCGCAAGGUUGAAACUCAAAUGAAUUGACGG
rnacentral:rRNA from 1 species